GUUAUGGCUUACCAAGGCGACGACGGGUAGCCGGCCUGAGAGGGUGUCCGGCCACACUGGGACUGAGAUACGGCCCAGACUCCUACGGGAGGCAGCAGUGGGGAAUAUUGCACAAUGGGCGCAAGCCUGAUGCAGCGACGCCGCGUGGGGGAUGACGGCCUUCGGGUUGUAAACCUCUUUCAGUACAGACGAAGCGCAAGUGACGGUAUGUACAGAAGAAGCACCGGCCAACUACGUGCCAGCAGCCGCGGUAAUACGUAGGGUGCGAGCGUUGUCCGGAAUUACUGGGCGUAAAGAGCUCGUAGGUGGUUUGUCGCGUUGUUCGUGAAAACCUGAGGCUUAACCUUGGGCGUGCGGGCGAUACGGGCAGACUGGAGUACUGCAGGGGAGACUGGAAUUCCUGGUGUAGCGGUGGAAUGCGCAGAUAUCAGGAGGAACACCGGUGGCGAAGGCGGGUCUCUGGGCAGUAACUGACGCUGAGGAGCGAAAGCGUGGGGAGCGAACAGGAUUAGAUACCCUGGUAGUCCAUGCCGUAAACGGUGGGCGCUAGGUG
rnacentral:rRNA from 1 species